CCCUCCUCCUCCCCCCCCUCCCCCCAGCGCCGCUGCAGCUGCUGCCGCCGUCUACGCCCUUCACCAGAGCCUGACCCACGGCUAUGGGGUGGCGCAUGUGGGGCAGGCCCACGUACAGACGGGUCUCGCGGCGGCCCCGCCCCCCCCCCACCCCGGGGCCGCCCAUCCCCCCCCCCAGGUGAUGCUGCUGCACCAGAGCCACGGGGGGGGGGGGGGGGGGGGCGGCGUCACCCCCGGGCCCUUCCCCUACAUCGGCCACCACCAAGUCCAGUCGCAGCAGCUCCAGUUCCACCCCCCGGGCAACUGACGCCGCCCCCCAAGUGGCUCCUUCUGCCCCCCAAGUGUGGGGCUGGAGCGUGGGGGGGAAUCUAUGGGGCAGAGCUGGAGCCGCCCCUCCCCUCCCCCCCCGCGGGGGCUUUUCUAUUAUUUAUAGUGGGGGGAGGGGGGAGGGGGGAACCUUAAAAAUGGCCCCAAAUGACCCAAAAAAGAGGAAAAAAACCCCAAAACCGAAUAAAAAAA
rnacentral:lncRNA from 1 species